UUAAGCGACUAAGCGUACACGGUGGAUGCCCUGGCAGUCAGAGGCGAUGAAGGACGUGCUAAUCUGCGAUAAGCGUCGGUAAGGUGAUAUGAACCGUUAUAACCGGCGAUUUCCGAAUGGGGAAACCCAGUGUGAUUCGUCACACUAUCAUUAACUGAAUCCAUAGGUUAAUGAGGCGAACCGGGGGAACUGAAACAUCUAAGUACCCCGAGGAAAAGAAAUCAACCGAGAUUCCCCCAGUAGCGGCGAGCGAACGGGGAGCAGCCCAGAGCCUGAAUCAGUGUGUGUGUUAGUGGAAGCGUCUGGAAAGGCGCGCGAUACAGGGUGACAGCCCCGUACACAAAAAUGCACAUGCUGUGAGCUCGAUGAGUAGGGCGGGACACGUGGUAUCCUGUCUGAAUAUGGGGGGACCAUCCUCCAAGGCUAAAUACUCCUGACUGACCGAUAGUGAACCAGUACCGUGAGGGAAAGGCGAAAAGAACCCCGGCGAGGGGAGUGAAAAAGAACCUGAAACCGUGUACGUACAAGCAGUGGGAGCACGCUUAGGCGUGUGACUGCGUACCUUUUGUAUAAUGGGUCAGCGACUUAUAUUCUGUAGCAAGGUUAACCGAAUAGGGGAGCCGAAGGGAAACCGAGUCUUAACUGGGCGUUAAGUUGCAGGGUAUAGACCCGAAACCCGGUGAUCUAGCCAUGGGCAGGUUGAAGGUUGGGUAACACUAACUGGAGGACCGAACCGACUAAUGUUGAAAAAUUAGCGGAUGACUUGUGGCUGGGGGUGAAAGGCCAAUCAAACCGGGAGAUAGCUGGUUCUCCCCGAAAGCUAUUUAGGUAGCGCCUCGUGAAUUCAUCUCCGGGGGUAGAGCACUGUUUCGGCAAGGGGGUCAUCCCGACUUACCAACCCGAUGCAAACUGCGAAUACCGGAGAAUGUUAUCACGGGAGACACACGGCGGGUGCUAACGUCCGUCGUGAAGAGGGAAACAACCCAGACCGCCAGCUAAGGUCCCAAAGUCAUGGUUAAGUGGGAAACGAUGUGGGAAGGCCCAGACAGCCAGGAUGUUGGCUUAGAAGCAGCCAUCAUUUAAAGAAAGCGUAAUAGCUCACUGGUCGAGUCGGCCUGCGCGGAAGAUGUAACGGGGCUAAACCAUGCACCGAAGCUGCGGCAGCGACGCUGAUGCGUUGUUGGGUAGGGGAGCGUUCUGUAAGCCUGUGAAGGUGUGCUGUGAGGCAUGCUGGAGGUAUCAGAAGUGCGAAUGCUGACAUAAGUAACGAUAAAGCGGGUGAAAAGCCCGCUCGCCGGAAGACCAAGGGUUCCUGUCCAACGUUAAUCGGGGCAGGGUGAGUCGACCCCUAAGGCGAGGCCGAAAGGCGUAGUCGAUGGGAAACAGGUUAAUAUUCCUGUACUUGGUGUUACUGCGAAGGGGGGACGGAGAAGGCUAUGUUGGCCGGGCGACGGUUGUCCCGGUUUAAGCGUGUAGGCUGGUUUUCCAGGCAAAUCCGGAAAAUCAAGGCUGAGGCGUGAUGACGAGGCACUACGGUGCUGAAGCAACAAAUGCCCUGCUUCCAGGAAAAGCCUCUAAGCAUCAGGUAACAUCAAAUCGUACCCCAAACCGACACAGGUGGUCAGGUAGAGAAUACCAAGGCGCUUGAGAGAACUCGGGUGAAGGAACUAGGCAAAAUGGUGCCGUAACUUCGGGAGAAGGCACGCUGAUAUGUAGGUGAAGCGACUUGCUCGUGGAGCUGAAAUCAGUCGAAGAUACCAGCUGGCUGCAACUGUUUAUUAAAAACACAGCACUGUGCAAACACGAAAGUGGACGUAUACGGUGUGACGCCUGCCCGGUGCCGGAAGGUUAAUUGAUGGGGUCAGCGCAAGCGAAGCUCUUGAUCGAAGCCCCGGUAAACGGCGGCCGUAACUAUAACGGUCCUAAGGUAGCGAAAUUCCUUGUCGGGUAAGUUCCGACCUGCACGAAUGGCGUAAUGAUGGCCAGGCUGUCUCCACCCGAGACUCAGUGAAAUUGAACUCGCUGUGAAGAUGCAGUGUACCCGCGGCAAGACGGAAAGACCCCGUGAACCUUUACUAUAGCUUGACACUGAACAUUGAGCCUUGAUGUGUAGGAUAGGUGGGAGGCUUUGAAGUGUGGACGCCAGUCUGCAUGGAGCCGACCUUGAAAUACCACCCUUUAAUGUUUGAUGUUCUAACGU
rnacentral:rRNA from 1 species